rnacentral:rRNA from 1 species
GUGAACGCUGGCGGUAGGCCUAACACAUGCAAGUCGAACGGCAGCACAGUAAGAGCUUGCUCUUACGGGUGGCGCGUGGCGGACGGGUGAGGAAUACAUCGGAAUCUACUUUUUCGUGGGGGAUAACGUAGGGAAACUUACGCUAAUACCGCAUACGACCUACGGGUGAAAGCAGGGGAUCUUCGGACCUUGCGCGAUUGAAUGAGCCGAUGUCGGAUUAGCUAGUUGGCGGGGUAAAGGCCCACCAAGGCGACGAUCCGUAGCUGGUCUGAGAGGAUGAUCAGCCACACUGGAACUGAGACACGGUCCAGACUCCUACGGGAGGCAGCAGUGGGGAAUAUUGGACAAUGGGCGCAAGCCUGAUCCAGCCAUACCGCGUGGGUGAAGAAGGCCUUCGGGUUGUAAAGCCCUUUUGUUGGGAAAGAAAAGCAGCAGGUUAAUACCCCGCUGUUCUGACGGUACCCAAAGAAUAAGCACCGGCUAACUUCGUG